UCAUAGUAGUUUCACCCUAGGGUCCUUUGCACCAUGACCUCAAGCCAAAGAAGCCCCCAGAAGCUUUUUAUACCUGACUCUAACAUUGGGCAAGUUAACGUUAUCAGCUGAUUAGCUUAGUGCAGGCGCUAAUGGAACCAACUGUGUAUUUCGUAAAUUACUCCACUAAUAAUGCCCAAAAUGAUACCAAACUUCAACAGUAGUACAAAUAGGUUAUGUACUCAUACAAUGAUGGAUUGGAAAGUUUGUAAGUACACCAGAAUUUUAUUUAAAUAACACUUGGAUGCUGGCUUCUGCUCUCUGCAGCUACUGCUACCGGCAGUAAGAUGAGUCCACAAAUUACAACACUGAAAAGAGAUACAACAAAAAUAUUAAUUAAUUUAACUUAUUUAUUAAAUGUAAGUGCUGUAGUACAACUAGUAGGAGACAAUUAAUAAUUGAGGUAAGUUUGGAGACACUACCUUAUUUGAUCACUAAAUUAAUAGCCUACAUAUUUUAGUUUUAUCUCUUUUCUGUGUUGUAGUUUGUAGUCGGUCCCGAAGCUCUCCAACUGCCGUCUCAACACUGGAACUAAACAGAGCGGAAUUAGCAGAACCUUCAUGCAUUUCUUUCACUUCUACUGCAAUCAGAUUCACUGGGUUCACUG